AAACCCUAAACACUCAAGAAAGAGAGCCGUCACUUUCCUUCCUCCCCCAUCUCCUUCUUUCUCUCUUCUCUCCUUGCGCCACCAGUGAACAGCUAGGCCGCCACCAGCCGCUGCACGGUCCCACAGAACACCACCAGCAGCAGCACCCUUCCCUCUUUCUUCUCCUUUCUCUUCCCUCUCCCUCGCUACUGAGCAGCCGCCACCCCAGGAGCAGCAGCAGCGGGUAGCCUCCCACAACCACCACAAGCAGCACCCGGUCCUCCUCCUCACUCCCACGUACAGCCCAGCAGCAGGCGGCUAUAGUGCGCAUCACAGUAGCAGGCGGCUGCGUGUUUGCUUCCCCACUGGCUGCGCGAGCCCUCCUCCACCACCAACACCUUGAGUCACACCACCACCAGAAGAACCACCAACCUCUUGACCCAUUUUCUAGUUUCACCCAUUGUUCCCAAUUUAUAAGAGGAAAGUAGACCCUUAGUUGGGUGAUUUUUGUAACUUGUGGUCGUGCAGUGAUGCUCGCAGCAGGGGGAUCAUAGCUUGACAUGACAGGUAUAGGAGCUUCUUUUGUUUUGCAUUGGGGGAAGAGCGGAGUACGACCGUAACAAUUGUGUACAAUUGUCUAAUGCUUGUAGCUUUUAUAUUACUUGUAAAGUUUUCUUUUGGAUUGUAUAAUUUCCUUUGUAUGGAGCCAUGUGACUCCUUGUAUGAUCCAUAGUUCCGCUGCGUAGUUUUUGAAUGUAUAGUAUUGAGAUUACUUCUUAGUAUCCGUCAGGUCGAUGCGUUAACACUUGGAACCACGAUCCUCAUUAGAAUUGGUGAUUUGAGAAGCCGACGAUGAUUCUUUCCGUCGUGACAUAUUCUUGAAGACAUUAAAGGCCUUAGAUUAUUAUAUUGAUGUUAUCCAAUUAUAUAUUCUUGUCACAUCCUCAAUUUUCAGUAGAGAUGUUGCCGAAAUUUUAACUCACUCACCUUUUAAUUAAUCUUUAGUGUUUAUUUUAAUAAUUAUUUUUCCUUUUCUUUUUAUGUAACACCCGAAUUUCCUCCCUUCCUUCACGAUUCUGGUUUCGUUUAAGGGGUUGAAAAUUCAGGGGUGUUACAUAUUAUUCCACGUAAAAAUUAUGCUGUCUCUUUCUAAAUUUGUGUAUAAAACAUUUAUCAAUUUAUUGAUUGUAGGGUUAUAACAAAGAAAUAUUGAUUCAAAAUAAAAAUGACUAAAAAUGUAGUGAAAGCUUACUAAAAAUGAUAACAUGAAAUAGAAAUAGUUGACAACAUUUAAAAAACAGGUUCGGUUGGAUUUAGAUUUCAUUGGGGUUUUAAUCAGCUUUUUUGAUAUAUUUUGGUUGGAAUAUUUUUAUUCACAUGCCAAAAUUUAUUUAUAGGUUAUUAGUUAUCGCCAAUUAAUUUUCAAUUGAAUUUAAGGUCAAAUAAAAAAGAAAUAGGUCUAAGUGCCAACUUUCACAUUUAGAGUUUAUAAAAUUAUAGU